rnacentral:rRNA from 1 species
UACGGAGGGUGCGAGCGUUGUCCGGAAUCACUGGGCGUAAAGGGCUCGUAGGCGGCCAACUAAGUCGGAUGUGAAAUCCCCAGGCUUAACCUGGGAACUGCAUCCGAUACUGGAUGGCUUGAAUCCGGGAGAGGGAUGCAGAAUUCCAGGUGUAGCGGUGAAAUGCGUAGAUAUCUGGAGGAAUACCGGUGGCGAAGGCGGCAUCCUGGACCGGCAUUGACGCUGAGUGAGCGAAAGCUAGGGGAGCAAACGGG